UAUCUACUCUCUCUGUCCUAAAAUUCUUGUCUGAACUUUGUCUAAAUACAAAUGUAUCUAGUCACAUUUUAGUGUUAGAGGCAUCUAUAUCUAGACAAAUCUAAGACAAGUAUUUUCGGAUGGAGGUAAUGUAUG
rnacentral:pre_miRNA from 1 species